CCUACGGGAGGCAGCAGUGAGGAAUAUUGGUCAAUGGGCGCGAGCCUGAACCAGCCAAGUAGCGUGAAGGAUGACUGCCCUACGGGUUGUAAACUUCUUUUAUAAAGGAAUAAAGUGAGGCACGUGUGCCUUUUUGUAUGUACUUUAUGAAUAAGGAUCGGCUAACUCCGUGCCAGCAGCCGCGGUAAUACGGAGGAUCCGAGCGUUAUCCGGAUUUAUUGGGUUUAAAGGGAGCGUAGGCGGCCUUUUAAGUCAGCGGUGAAAGUCUGUGGCUCAACCAUAGAAUUGCCGUUGAAACUGGGAGGCUUGAGUACAGUUGAGGUAGGCGGAAUUCGUGGUGUAGCGGUGAAAUGCUUAGAUAUCACGAAGAACUCCGAUUGCGAAGGCAGCUUACUAAACUGCCACUGACAUUGAUGCUCGAAAGUGUGGGUAUCAAACAGGAUUAGAUACCCGGGUAGUC
rnacentral:rRNA from 1 species